rnacentral:rRNA from 1 species
UACAGAGACUGCAAGCGUUAUUCGGAUUCACUGGGCGUAAAGGGUGCGCAGGCGGUUGGGUGUGUCAGAUGUGAAAUCCCGAGGCUCAACCUCGGAACUGCGUCUGAAACUACUCGACUAGAGUACUGGAGAGGGUAACGGAAUUCACGGUGUAGCAGUGAAAUGCGUAGAUAUCGUGAGGAACACCAGAGGCGAAGGCGGUUACCUGGACAGUUACUGACGCUCAGGCGCGAAAGCAUGGGGAGCAAAAGGG